rnacentral:rRNA from 1 species
CCUACGGGUGGCAGCAGUGGGGGAUAUUGCACAAUGGGGGGAACCCUGAUGCAGCGACGCCGCGUGGGUGAAGAAGCGUUUCGGCGCGUAAAGCUCUGUCAGCAGGGAAGAAAAUGACGGUACCUGACGAAGAAGCCCCGGCUAACUACGUGCCAGCAGCCGCGGUAAUACGUAGGGGGCAAGCGUUAUCCGGAUUUACUGGGUGGAAAGGGGGCGUAGACGGCGAAGCAAGCCAGGAGUGAAAGCCGGGGGCCCAACCCCGGGACUGCUCUUGGAACUGCGUGGCUGGAGUGCAGGAGAGGCAAGCGGAAUUCCUAGUGGAGCGGUGAAAUGCGUAGAUAUUAGGAGGAACACCAGUGGCGAAGGCGGCCUGCUGGACUGCAACUGACGUUGAGGCCCGAAAGCGUGGGGAGCAAACAGGAUUAGAUACCCGGGUAGUC